ensembl:lncRNA ZNF767P zinc finger family member 767, pseudogene
GGCCGGGCGCUAAAGGCGUUGACGCAACUGCGGGCGGCGCAGGGCAGGGGCAGUCAGGGAGCAGCGGCGGCAGAGACAGGGCUGGGCGGGCGCCGCCUGCGGAGAGCACCGGGAGGCGGGCCCUGCGUGGGGCCGCGCGCAGCAGCGGCGACGACUUUAUCUGGGCCGCGGGGGACAGCGCAGGGCCAUGGAGGAGGCGGCCGCAGCUCCGAUUUCUCCGUGGACGAUGGCAGCCACGAUUCAGGCCAUGGAGAGGAAGAUUGAAUCGCAGGCUGCUCACCUGCUUUCCCUAGAAGGUCAAACCGGGAUGGCCGAGAAGAAGCUGGCUGAUUGCGAGAAGACAGCCGUGGAGUUCGGGAACCAGCUGGAGGGCAAGUGGGCCGUGCUGGGGACCCUGCUGCAGGAGUACGGGCUGCUGCAGAGGCGGCUGGAGAACGUGGAGAACCUGCUGCACAACAGGAACUUCUGGAUCCUGCGGCUGCCCCCGGGCAGCAAGGGGGAGUCCCCUAAGGUGCCUAUGACAUUUGAUGAUGUGGCUGUGUAGUUCUCUGAGCAAGUGUGGGGCAAGCUGGAGGACUGGCAGAAGGAGCUCUGCAAGCACGUGAUGAGGGGCAACUGCGAGAUGCUGGUCUCUUUGGACUACGCCAUCUCCAAGUCCGAGGUCCUCUCCCAGAUUGAACAAGGGAAGGAGCCCUGCAACUGGCGCCGCCCUGACCCCAAGAUUCCAGAUGUUCCUGUGGACCCCAGUCCAGUAGAUCUCUGGCUUCCUGCUCUGUUUGUUCUGGUUGCCCUGGAAAGCCUGCUGCUCAGCCCAUGCCCCGGGACUUCCUCCACCCUCACCAGGACAUUCUUUCCAUCUCUUGUCUCCUGUGUGCAAGUCCCUUUCUCCUGGAUUCCAUGUCUUGAAUGUUUCUUAAUUUACUUCCUCAUUUUGGCAGAGGAUGUCCUCCAGUUGUUUUCUGGGAAUGCUAAUAUGCAAGUGAACCAGUGACCUGCAGUUCUGCCCACACAGGGUUAAUAACCAAUCAGAUUCUCUCUUUUCAAGAUGGUUAACAUAACAGACACCAAGAAAGGGAAGAGGAGCCGACAGCAGAGGGGGAAGCUGAAAAGACGCACAAAGAAUGGCCAUAAAAGAUAUGAGUAUGUUGAGUGAUUAGUGAUCGGAAACUACGAGUGAUAUGGUACAGGUGUUUGUAGAAGAACAGUAAAGCCAUUGAUCAGGCAACCCCAGCUUUCCAGACAGUCACUUUUCCCAGUGGUCAUACCUGGUCUGGAAGAUUCCCCAUCAUCUCGAAUAAAGCUGUUGUUGCUUUUAACUCCAUGGAGAGACCGAAUGGAGUGAGCCCAGCAGGGCAUGCUGGGCAAGAGAGGUCCCCCGAGUCCCAAAUAAGAAUUUCAACUAGUAUAAAACGAGGCAGCGAACCCACACGUGGAAGUCUGAUACCGCUUGCAGAAGGGAAUUGAAUAGAUGUCUCCCUAUUGCUGUUUCUGAUAAGCACUUGUGCAGCCCCAUCAGCACCUCGAUUUCUUCUUGGUGAGUCCAUGGGAACAGCCCCACUGCAAACAACCCAUUCCUGCUCUCCUCUUUCCUCUAAACCUCAACCUCCUCCUACCUGGCAGUCCACAGGCCUACAGCUUCUCCUCAGUGGGAAAGACAUCAGCUUGGAAAACCACUUGGAAAGCCAACGUUAUCCUAGAAAAGCUUUUUAAAUGACCCAGCAGGACAAGUCUCCGGAUGGCCUUGGCCAACCCGGUGCUUCCCUCUUUUCUUGGUUGUAGUUCUCAGAAUAACUAGAGAAUGUACUGGGAGUGUUGUCCUGAGAUAAGGAGGAACUGUCCUAAACCUGGACUCUGUUCCCAUCACACCUAGAACAGGAUGUCCUGCAACGCUUUAGCCCAAUGAUCCAAGUUGCCCUUGGGGUAUAAAACUUGACAGCAGAGGGCGUUCAGGGUCCCUCAGCUGCAGUGUGAAGUGGGACACACAGGUGAGACUCCAUCUGCCCUGGGCAGGUUCCUGAGCCUUGGGGGACCAGUUCACCCUACAUCCCAGGCUUCUGUUGUCCCUUGCCUGCCUGUAAGGAAUAAAGUUGCUUUGCUUAA